rnacentral:rRNA from 1 species
CGUGAAAUUGUUGAAAGGGAAGCGUUUAUGACCAGACUUGGGCUUGGUUAAUCAUCUGGGGUUCUCCCCAGAGCACUUUUCCAGUCCAGGCCAGCAUCAGUGUUCCCCGGGGUAUAAAGAGUUCGGGAAUGUGGCUCUCUUCGGGGAGUCUUAUAGCCCGUUGUGUAAUGCCCUAGGGGGGGCUGAGGUUCGCGCAUCGGCAAGGAUGCUGGCGUAAUGGUCAUCAGCGGCCCGUCUUGA